AUACGGAGGGAGCGAGCGUUAAUCGGAAUUACUGGGCGUAAAGCGCGCGUAGGCGGCUUUGCAAGUCGGAUGUGAAAGCCCUGGGCUUAACCUGGGAAUGGCAUUCGAUACUGCAGAGCUAGAGUAUGGUAGAGGGAAGUGGAAUUUCCGGUGUAGCGGUGAAAUGCGUAGAUAUCGGAAGGAACACCAGUGGCGAAGGCGACUUCCUGGGCCAAUACUGACGCUGAGGUGCGAAAGCGUGGGGAGCAAACAGGAUUAGAAACCCCGGUAGUCC
rnacentral:rRNA from 1 species